rnacentral:lncRNA from 1 species
ACAGAGUUCUCCCCACAUUAUUAAUGGUAUGGGAAUUAGGAGAAGGUCAUCUGACUCACAUGGAUCACCAUAUAAUUCCUUCUGGAGAACAGGAAAAAUGCAGAAGAGGAAAACCUCCAUAUGUGAAGCUAUGGCAAGGGAGUCUCCCCACCCCGCGCUCCAACAGAGUCUGGAGAUAAAGGGUGUUUAACUGAAGAUGCAGAAAAUUUCAAUUGAGGAAUGCUAGUCACAAUUAUACCCACAGCUGAUGAGAAGUAACAUCAGAAAUCUGCCGUCUGU